rnacentral:rRNA from 1 species
UGAUGGAGGGGGAUAACUACUGGAAACGGUGGCUAAUACCGCAUAACGUCGCAAGACCAAAGAGGGGGACCUUCGGGCCUCUUGCCAUCAGAUGUGCCCAGAUGGGAUUAGCUAGUUGGUGAGGUAACGGCUCACCAAGGCGACGAUCCCUAGCUGGUCUGAGAGGAUGACCAGCCACACUGGAACUGAGACACGGUCCAGACUCCUACGGGAGGCAGCAGUGGGGAAUAUUGCACAAUGGGCGCAAGCCUGAUGCAGCCAUGCCGCGUGUAUGAAGAAGGCCUUCGGGUUGUAAAGUACUUUCAGCGGGGAGGAAGGUGUUGUGGUUAAUAACCGCAGCAAUUGACGUUACCCGC